rnacentral:tRNA from 2 species
GGCUCAGUGGUCUAGUAGUAUGAUUCCUGCUUCGGGUGCAGGAGGUCCCGGGUUCAAUUCCCGGCUGAGCCC